rnacentral:rRNA from 1 species
GUGGGGAAUAUUGGGCAAUGGGGGCAACCCUGACCCAGCGACGCCGCGUGAGGGAAGAAGGCCUUAGGGUCGUAAACCUCUGUUGUGUGGGAAGAAGGAAGUGACGGUACCACACGAGGAAGUCCCGGCUAACUACGUGCCAGCAGCCGCGGUAAUACGUAGGGGACGAGCGUUGUCCGGAAUUACUGGGCGUAAAGGGCGCGUAGGCGGUCAUUUAAGUCAGCUGUGAAAUGGUCCGGCUCAACCGGAUCAUGCGGUUGAAACUGGAUGACUGGAGUGCUGGAGAGGCAAGUGGAAUUCCCAGUGUAGCGGUGAAAUGCGUAGAUAUUGGGAAGAACACCGGUGGCGAAGGCGACUUGCUGGCCAGCAACUGACGCUGAGGCGCGAAAGCCAGGGGAGCAAACGGGAUUAGAAACCCGAGUAGUCC